rnacentral:rRNA from 1 species
CGUAGAGUUGAUCUCGGCGUCAGGACAGCUGCGGCGUGCUAACACAUGCAAGUCGAACGGAGCUAGACGCUGAGGACGUAGCUUGCUAUUGAAUCUUGUUUAGCGUUAGUGGCGGACGGGUGAGGUAACGACGUGAGCAACCUACCUUUCAGAGGGGGAUAACGUUUGGAACGAACGCUAAUACCGCAUGAUAUUAUUGGGCAGCAUUGCCUGAUAAUCAAAGGAGCAAUCCGCUGAAGAUGGGCUCGCGUCCGAUUAGGUAGUUGGCGGGGUAACGGCCCACCAAGCCGACGAUCGGUAGCCGGACUGAGAGGUUGAACGGCCGCAUUGGGACUGAGACACGGCCCAGACUCCUACGGGAGGCAGCAGUGAGGGAUAUUGGUCAAUGGGGGAAACCCUGAACCAGCAACGCCGCGUGAGGGAAGACGGUUUUCGGAUUGUAAACCUCUGUCCUCUGUGAAGAUGAUGACGGUAGCAGAGGAGGAAGCUCCGGCUAACUACGUG